GGGGGCGUUCCGGAUUCGACUGGGUAGACGCGUCAUGGGUUGCAUGCCGAGGGCGGUUUGGUGCCUCGUAAAUCAUCCUUACCAAAAACACAACUGCCAACGAAGAAUUGGCUCUCGCGGCCUAAUUAAUCCGCGACGUCUGCCUCCUGACGCCGACUAGGGAGAGCGGGCGACGACAGACGGCUAGGGGAUCAGCGGAGAUUGCGCGCUGUGAACCGAAACUUUUUUCAUGCGAACUAGGCAAGGGGAUUUGAGUUAGGCCAUUAUCCUUGAGCCGAAAAACGAAGCCUGACUAAGCAUGUAGAGGUUCAUGGUUAUUUUACUUAGGACGCGGGUUCAACUCCCGCCGCCUCCACCA
rnacentral:tmRNA from 1 species